AGGGGUCUGCCUUCAUGAAUGGAUUAAUGCC
rnacentral:piRNA from 1 species